UACGUAGGGAGCAAGCGUUGUCCGGAAUCAUUGGGCGUAAAGCGCGCGUAGGCGGCCCUGUAAGUCCGUUGUGAAAGUCAAAGGCUCAACCUUUGAAAGCCGAUGGAUACUGCAGGGCUAGAGUCCGGAAGAGGCGAGUGGAAUUCCUGGUGUAGCGGUGGAAUGCGCAGAUAUCAGGAGGAACACCAAUAGCGAAGGCAGCUCGCUGGGACGUUACUGACACUGAGGCGCGAAAGCGUGGGGAGCGAACAGG
rnacentral:rRNA from 1 species